AGACUUCUGCAUCUGUGCUGAGAUUUCGUCACACACCAGACCACAAGGGCUGAUGAGACUUCCAAAACAGUGAAGCG
rnacentral:pre_miRNA from 1 species